rnacentral:misc_RNA from 1 species
GAUGAAGAACGUAGCGAAAUGCGAUAAGUAAUGUGAAUUGCAGAAUUCAGUGAAUCAUCGAAUCUUUGAACGCACAUUGCGCCCGCCAGUAUUCUGGCGGGCAUGCCUGUUCGAGCGUCAUUUCCACCAUCAGGCCCCCGGGCCUGUGUUGGGGACCUGCGGCUGCCCGCAGGCCCCGAAAUUCAGUGGCGGUCGCGCCGUAGCAACCGAGCGUAGUAACUAAAACGUCUCGCUCUGGCUCGUUGGGCGCGCUCCGGCCGUAAAACACCCCCCCUUUUCGCAAAGGUUGACCUCGGAUCAGGUAGGAAUACCCGCUGAACUUAAGCAUAUCAAUAAGCGGAGGA